ensembl:lncRNA
CAAGCGCAGUCCGCCUGCCCGGAGGCGCCAAACUGUGGGCGAGGAGAGAGGUGGAGGACGCUGCACACGGGGACUUCCUACAGUCCUUUCUGAGGGCGCGCCCCGGGGAGCGGCCGGUCGCGAGCCGGGCCGGGGCGGGCGCCCGGGAGAGCCGGGGGCUGGCCCAACCACGGGCACACGCACGCACCGAAGAGUAGACUGGGCACACCUGCCGGGGCACCUGUGCGGGUCUUGGAGCCCCUCGCCCCGAACGCCGGGGCCGCUCUAGGCGCCCUAGCAAGCCCCGGCGGGCGGGAAGGACUUGGCCGAAGGCAGGCACGGGAAUCGGCCGCUCGGGAUCCAGGCACCCCGAGAGGGGGUCCGGGGUCUGCUCGCCAAGCUCUUGUUCGUUGCUGCCCGACGGAGCGGGACCUGCUGCUCCAGCACAAGGCUUUUGAAGGAUUUGGGAGACUUCCUUCACUCCCCAUCUGCUUCCACCCUCAGUUUCCCUAAACGCCCCCCUUACAUCAAGGAAUUGCCCCUCGAGUUAGGUCACGGGACACUUGCAUUCCUUAACGCUGCCUGUCGCCGGGAGAGAAGGGACAAGGUGCGAAACUGCGGCGCGCGCUCCGGGGACCAGACCCUGAGCGAGCGGCACCGGCGGGUGGCAGGAGCCUUAGCCCUCCGGCUCGGCCUCUGCAAACCUCACAGUCUGAUCGAACCCCUGGGACUCUCGAAAUGGGAUCGGAUGCGGCGUAAACUCCAUCUCCCAGCUGUUCGGUCAGAAACAGCUACCCUUGGAUAUAAAGAUGAAGCCACCAAUUCUCUUGGCUCUUGUGAUCUGUUCAGUAGUCAGCACAAAUCUGAAGUUUGUGUCAAAGAGGAAUUCUGAGUGCUGAUGGAACAUUAAAAAAACAAAAAAAAACAAAACAGAAGAAAACCAAAAGGUUUAGAAGGGGACACAAACAGGC